GGCGGGAUAGCUCAGUUGGCUAGAGCACAUGGUUCAUACCCAUGGUGUCGUGGGUUCGACUCCCUCUUCCGCCAUCA
rnacentral:tRNA from 1 species